CCGGUCCUCGGUAGUGGCCCCCGGAACCCCCGCCGCAGAGCGGGGCACCCCGGAGGCUUCGAUCGAAGACCGG
rnacentral:ncRNA from 1 species